rnacentral:rRNA from 1 species
AGAGUUUGAUCCUGGCUCAGGAUGAACGCUGGCGGCGUGCCUAACACAUGCAAGUCGAACGAAGCUUGACGGAUGAUUUCUUCGGAAUGAAACCAGAUAUGACUUAGUGGCGGACGGGUGAGUAACACGUGAGCAACCUGCCUUUCAGAGGGGGAUAACGGCUGGAAACGGUCGCUAAUACCGCAUGAUGUGUUCGGAUGGCAUCAUCUGAACAUCAAAGAUUUAUCGCUGAAAGAUGGGCUCGCGUCUGAUUAGAUAGUUGGUGGGGUAACGGCCUACCAAGUCUGCGAUCAGUAGCCGGACUGAGAGGUUGAACGGCCACAUUGGGACUGAGAUACGGCCCAGACUCCUACGGGAGGCAGCAGUGGGGAAUAUUGCACAAUGGGGGAAACCCUGAUGCAGCAACGCCGCGUGAAGGAUGACGGUUUUCGGAUUGUAAACUUCUUUUCUUAGUGACGAAGACAGUGACGGUAGCUAAGGAAUAAGCAUCGGCUAACUACGUGCCAGCAGCCGCGGUAAUACGUAGGAUGCAAGCGUUAUCCGGAUUUACUGGGUGUAAAGGGAGCGCAGGCGGGACUGCAAGUUGGAUGUGAAAUACCGUGGCUUAACCACGGAACUGCAUCCAAAACUGUAGUUCUUGAGUGAAGUAGAGGCAAGCGGAAUUCCGAGUGUAGCGGUGAAAUGCGUAGAUAUUCGGAGGAACACCAGUGGCGAAGGCGGCUUGCUGGGCUUUAACUGACGCUGAGGCUCGAAAGUGUGGGGAGCAAACAGGAUUAGAUACCCUGGUAGUCCACACUGUAAACGAUGAUAGCUAGGUGUGGGGGGUCUGACCCCUUCCGUGCCGGAGUUAACGCAAUAAGCUAUCCACCUGGGGAGUACGACCGCAAGGUUGAAACUCAAAGGAAUUGACGGGGGCCCGCACAAGCAGUGGAUUAUGUGGUUUAAUUCGAAGCAACGCGAAGAACCUUACCAGGUCUUGACAUCCGACUAACGAGAUAGAGAUAUGUCAGGUGCCCUUCGGGGAAAGUCGAGACAGGUGGUGCAUGGUUGUCGUCAGCUCGUGUCGUGAGAUGUUGGGUUAAGU